rnacentral:SRP_RNA from 1 species
CCGUGCUAGACGGGGAGGUAGCGGUGCCCUUCGCCCGCAAUCCGCUAUAGCGGGGUUGAAUCCCCGGCCGAGGCCGCGGCGCGCAGAGCAGGCGGCGGCACGUGGCGUUGACGAUCGGGUCCCGUGCGGCAGAAUCCCGUGAACCCCGCCAGGUCCGGAAGGAAGCAACGGUAAGCGGGCACUUCUGGGCGCCACGGGGUAGCCGGGUCCGAGCCGGCGGCCGUCAAACCGUCUGGACGUCGCAGGUCGGAGCCGGGUGCACGG